rnacentral:rRNA from 1 species
AGCAUAUCAUUAAGCGGAGGAAAAGAAACUAACAAGGAUUCCCCCAGUAACGGCGAGUGAAGCGGGAAGAGCUCAAGCUUAAAAUCUCCAUACUUGUAUGGCGAAUUGUAGUCUAUUGAGGCUGUUGUCAGCAUCGCGAUUGGGGACAAGUCCCUUGGAAAAGGGCAGCAUAGAGGGUGAUACUCCCGUCUCUGCUCCAAUCUGCGGUGUGUACGAUACGCUUUCUUUGAGUCGAGUUGUUUGGGAAUACAGCUCAAAGUAGGUGGUAAAUUCCAUCUAAAGCUAAAUAUUGGUGCGAGACCGAUAGCGAACAAGUACCGUGAGGGAAAGAUGAAAAGAACUUUGAAAAGAGAGUUAAAGAGUACCUGAAACUGUUGAAAGGGAACCGUAUCGUUUCCAGUGUUGUAUCCUAUGCAUAUUUCAUUCGCGGAGUAAUUUGCGGGUGCCCUGUGCAUGGGUGUGACGUCAGGGUCAGUUUGUAUGCUGCGGGAGAUGGUCAGUGAGGAGGUGCGUCACUUCGGUGAAAGUUAUAUCUCGCUGUCUAGUAGCCGUGGUUGAGACUGAGGUGCCUACAACAUGCCUUAAGGUUCCGUGUUGUCUCGUGUUGGUGACUGCUUUGAUAGCUUGCUAUGUCUGUGGUUUAUCAGUGCGAUUGAUGAUGCGGAUAACUUUUGCUGUUCGGGACUCUGGCGAAAUGGAGCGAUAC